UACGUAGGGUGCGAGCGUUAAUCGGAAUUACUGGGCGUAAAGGGUGUGCAGGCGGCUGAGUAAGACAGAUGUGAAAUCCCCGGGCUUAACCUGGGAACCGCAUAUGUGACUGCUUGGCUAGAGUGCGUCAGAGGGAGGUGGAAUUCCACGUGUAGCAGUGAAAUGCGUAGAUAUGUGGAAGAACACCGAUGGCGAAGGCAGCCUCCUGGGACGCAACUGACGCUCAUACACGAAAGCGUGGGGAGCAAACAGG
rnacentral:rRNA from 1 species